AUACGGAGGAUGCGAGCGUUAUCCGGAUUUAUUAGGUUUAAAGGGUGUGUAGGCGGUAUUUUAAGUCAGUGGUGAAAUCUCGGAGCUUAACUUCGAAACUGCCAUUGAUACUGGAAUACUUGAGUAUAGUUGAGGUAGGCGGAAUAUGUAAUGUAGCGGUGAAAUGCAUAGAUAUUACAUAGAACACCGAUUGCGAAGGCAGCUUACUAAACUAUUACUGACGCUGAUGCACGAAAGCGUGGGGAGCGAACAGGAUUAGAUACCCCAGUAGUCC
rnacentral:rRNA from 1 species